GUCGGGAUAACUAAGUUGGUAGAGAAGAGGAAUGGAAAUCCUUGUGCCACUAGUUCAAAUAUGGUUCUUGGCA
rfam:Picea glauca, whole genome shotgun sequence.